rnacentral:rRNA from 1 species
ACUCAAAGGAAUUGACGGGGGCCCGCACAAGCGGAGGAACAUGUGGUUUAAUUCGAUGAUACGCGAGGAACCUUACCCGGGCUUGAAAUGCAUCUGACCGGGGUGGAAACACCCCUUUCGCAAGACAGAUGUGUAGGUGCUGCAUGGUUGUCGUCAGCUCGUGCCGUGAGGUGUCGGCUUAAGUGCCAUAACGAGCGCAACCCUUAUCAUUAGUUACUAACAGGUUAAGCUGAGGACUCUAAUGAGACUGCCGUCGUAAGAUGCGAGGAAGGUGGGGAUGACGUCAAAUCAGCACGGCCCUUACGUCCGGGGCUACACACGUGUUACAAUGGAGGGUACAGCAGGUCGCUACCUGGCAACAGGAUGCUAAUCUUCAAAACCCUUCUCAGUUCGGAUCGAAGUCUGCAACCCGACUUCGUGAAGCUGGAUUCGCUAGUAAUCGCGCAUCAGCCACGGCGCGGUGAAUACGUUCCCGGGCCUUGUACACACCGCCCGU